GUGAAUCAUCAAAUUUUUGAACGCAAAUUGCACUCUCUGGUAUUCCGGAGAGUAUGCCUGUUUGAGGGUCAGUUUAAAUAAAAAUCGGUGUGGUUGCUGCCUUUCGUGGUGACUCAGCGGAUUUGGGUUGUCUUGCCUUCGGUUAAGUGACUUAAAAUUUUGCAUGUUUUUUGUGAACGUACUUAAAUGAUUUUACUUUCGUUUGCGGUUGCG
rnacentral:misc_RNA from 1 species